UCCCUUUUUUGUUAUCUUAGCCGGGACUC
rnacentral:piRNA from 1 species